UGGGGAAUAUUGCACAAUGGGGGAAACCCCGAUGCAGUGACGCCGCGUGAACGAAGAAGGUAUUCGUAUCGUAAAGUUCUGUCCUAUGGGAAGAUAAUGACAGUACCAUAGAAGAAAGCUCCGGCUAAAUACGUGCCAGCAGCCGCGGUAAUACGUAUGGAGCGAGCGUUGUCCGGAAUUAUUGGGCGUAAAGGGUACGCAGGCGGUUUAAUAAGUCGAAUGUUAAAGAUCGGGGCUCAACCCCGUAAAGCAUUGGAAACUGAUAAACUGGAGGAGUGGAGAGGAAAGGGGAAGUCCUAGUGUAGUGGUGAAAUACGUAGAUAUUAGGAGGAAUACCAGAAGCGAAGGCGACUUUCUGGACACAAACUGACGCUGCGGUACGAAAGCGGGGGGAGCAAACAGG
rnacentral:rRNA from 1 species